rnacentral:lncRNA from 1 species
GGGCAAGGUCUGGGACUCCUGUCCCAGAGAAGUUGAUCUAAAAAGCGCUUGGUCUCUCCUAAGGAAGAGCUGUUCUUGCUUCUGUGUGUGUGUGUGUGUGUGUGUGUGUGUUGAGAGGAUGGUAUACUGGGAGGUCCUGCUUUGGCCCAGGAGGAACUAGGAGAGAACCAUACAGAGGCUGAAGUCCUUCUUUCCCUUGAUGCUCAUGGGUAACACUCAGGCUGGGAAGAUGUAGAAGCACAUAAUGUCCUCAAGAGGAGGAAGAAAAUUUCCCACCAUUGUUCCACAGGUACAGAGACCUCUCAUUCCUUCCUGGCAGCUGGAAAAACCAAAAGCUUGACCUGAUCCAUAAGUGUAAACAGAGUUGAGAGCAGGUAAGGAAAAAAAUACGUGUAAGGAGAACCAGCAACUAGAGGACAACCAAGGACACCCAGAAGUAGUUCUCAGGAAAACAGAACUUUUAGAAAAGACAGAAGUCAACUUUGACGAAAACAACAAUAGUAGGAGCAAAAAUUCAAGGAGACUUUAUCAUAGCAUAGGAAAGAUUUUUCUAGUACCUCACCCCCCCAAAAAAAAUCAAUAUAUCAACUAAAAAUGAGAAUAAUCACUUGUUGAGAACCAAAUUAGCAGCAUAGGAAAUCAAACAGAAGAAAUAUUUUAAAAUAGAGCAGAAAUAUAAAGUAAUUAAAAUGAAAAUUGUGGCUCUUCUCCCAAAAAUAUAUCUGAAAAUAAAGCUAUAUCUGAAAAUAAAAUUUUGUGUAAACUUUCAAGGAUUUGCAGAUGCACCUAAAGUAUAUCUGUGGACCCUAUGACAUAAAAAUGCAACUGAAGAUGAAAAUCCAGUUUAAAACAUGGUUUUAACUUAAAAAAUAAACGAGUCUGUCUAAGCAUCAGGAUGUCUCUCGUUACCCAAAAGCUCUCUCCAGGCCGUCGGUCUGCUCUUGCCCGGACCCUCAGACCUAUCCCUUCUGACAAUGGCCAAGAGUGGUGGGGACUGCAUUUACUGUUGGGUCCGUUAUAAGUAAGCAGGCUUCCCCACUGGAGAGCGGGGUGUAGAGAAGCUCUCCUGUCUUUUCUGAGAGGCCUUGGAGAACACUGCCCCCCGGCCUUUCGGCUGCUUUCCUGCCUCUCACUCCCCAGUCGUCUCAUCCGACAUGGCAGCACCCACAGUUGCCCCGACAGUUAGAUGAGUCUUUGCGAGGAAGGGCCUGAGUCGCCCUCCCCUCCACGUCACAUCUGUGUCUGCGCAUUCUCCGUAAAUCCUCCAUCAUCUAUACUUCCGCCUUCCAUCGUGGCUUUCCUGCAAGCAGUUUACUGAAGAAUUCUAUAGAGAUUUGUAAUUAAAGUUGCAUCCAUGUGGCACAGCUGAGAUUCAAACUCUGACUUCAAAUCCAGUUCUGAAGACUGGGAAAGCCAAGAUCAAGGUGUCAGGAGAUCCAGUGUCUGAAGAACCUCAAGAAAAAACCAUGCUGUUUCUUUCAAUGAUGAUCUAGUCUGGUGGAAACUGAACUUGCCACCUGAUAUCCCCACCGUCCGUGUAAGCGUUGUCCCUGAAGUACUUGAGGGCUCCCAAGGUGCCUGCCCUCCUCCUGCUUCGCCAGGGGUCCUCGGAACAAGUGCCCUAUUUCGUCUCCAUGGUACGACCUGCGAAACGGAGGUUACACAUUGGUUUUACACGUUGAGAAGGAGUGGUUGUGAAGGAGGAGGAAAAGGAAGGGAGAGCAGGGGGCAGAGAGAAGACAAAGGUUUGGGCCCUGCAGCCUGACGUGGGUCAGCAAGUGCUCUCGCCCAGGCCUCUGCCCCGGGAGCUGGACCCACGGCCAGGAUCUUGUCCCUGCAAGGCCAGCGUGCCCCGAAACCUGGCCUGAGGAGGACAUCAAUGGAAAUUCACACAACAGGAUGGUAAACAUGAUAAGUUGCUCGUAGUGGAAUUGCUGGGCCAAAGGGUAUUUUUAAGCCUUAAUUCCUAUCACCAAAUGGCUCUCCAAAAAGCUUUUACAUUUGGACGCUCCUGCCAUCGGAUCCUGCGAACAUCUGUUUCCACAUGCUGGUCCUCCUCUCCUCUCUCCACUUGGGCCAUGGCAUUCUUCAUAUGCUUUGUUGAUCUGGAAAAGAGAAGCUAAAUGAUAUUACUCAUUGUCAGCAAGAGUGAGGCCGAGGUGGGCUAGCCCAUAUUUGCAUAAAUCAGUAUUUCUCUGGUGCACACAGAUAAUAUCUGUCAAAAAGCUGUCUUUAGUAACCAUGUAGCUCUUGCACAGUUGGGUGGUUUAGCUAAGGAUACAAGAAAGACUACAUCUUAGGGUGUGGCUGAACCACCUGAGGGAACGAGCCUGGAUCCUUGAAUCACUGCAUGGGCAGAGAAGAAGGCACUUCCAGACAUGAAUACCCUGUGGCCUCAUAUGUGCAUAAGAGAGAAACCUGUGUUCUGUUCAGCCGCUGAAAUUUGAAGAUUUACUUAUUACAGCAGCAAAAAUUAUUCUAGUGCAUACACUCCCGUACCUACUUUGUGCUUCAGCAGUAACAACCGAUGUGCAAUUUCCCAGGUCAGCUGUGCAGCACUUCCACGUGUUUCUGCACGCUGAUCUCUCUGCUUUUGAUACCUAAUUUUCUCCAGUCUCCUAAUUCUAUCUAGUCUCUCUCCUUUCUGACCCUUUGGCCUUGAUCAGCUUGUAUUAAUCCUUAAAAUCCCAGUUCCUAAGCUUCUGUGAAGCACUGUUAUGACAGUGGGCCCCAUUCCUGCCAUGGACUUCCUGAGUUUGUCCAGAAUUCCACUUUAGCACAUGUCACAAUAUUUUAAAAUUCUCUGUUUAUAAAUAUGUCAACCUUACAACAUAGACAUUUGCCGUGUUUCUACACUUCAAAUCUCUUAGAAGAGUGGUGCUACAUAAGA